rnacentral:tRNA from 1 species
GGUGGCUCAGUGGUAGAGUGCUUGCCUAGCAUGCAUGAAGCCCUGGGUUCAAUUCCUCAGUACCACCA